GAACUUCCACUUGUUCUGGGUGUUGCCUGAUUCAUGAAUCAUUCUUUGCACAAUUAAACUCUGUUCAAUUUAAUUUGUCUAAAGUUUUUUUUCUUUCAACAGAACGAUGUGUACUUGAAAACAGUACACUCUUGCACAGCUGUCCCUGGAGCUUCCCCGUGGAGCUGUUAAACUUGCCCUCCGCUGGCUGUUUUCCACAAAGUAAUAUGGUUACAUAGAUUCACGGCUCAUGGCAAUGUUUCAUUAAGACAGUUCUUGAUGGCCGCUCCACACCUUUCUCACCACAUCUCACAGGCUGCCCUGCUGAGCCAGGUCUCCCUGGAACCCGGGGCUCCUGCGCAGGCCCCCAUUUUGCUCCAGAACACCCAGGAAGGCGGGGCUUGGGCUGGAAUGGGGACACCGAUUACCCUCUGUUCAGGCCUUUGGUGCCAGCUGAGGUCGAUACUGGUGCCAGGAUCGAGACUGUGCGCAUCCCAUCGAGAGCGGGCAGAUGUGGGGGCGCACUGGACCGGGCCUCCCAGGCUGACACCCAUUCACAGCAGCCUGAGCCUAAUCCGCCACUGCUCGCCUUCCUCCGACGUCUCCACCUAAACCAUCCUUCUGCACAUUGUGACCCAUCACUCCGCCCUUUGUCCACACAUCUCCUUCCCCACACCCACAACGCGGUGGUCCCUGCCCCACAAUGCAACGGAAACCUUGCG
rnacentral:lncRNA from 1 species